UGUUAUUUUGUUUCUUACCAGAGUCUACAACUUCAAAGCCUCAAAAUUUUGAUGAUGAUUCUUACACGGAGGAGCCUUGUGAUACCACAAACAUAAAUGUGGAUUGUGAAGAAUGCUAAUUGAAGUAUGUAGUUUGCACUUAGCAGGAUCUUGCCAAUGCAGGAACUAUCAAAAGACCAACAUGCUAUAGCCUGUGUGUUGUUGCUAACAAAGCCUACAAAGGGACAACUUGGGCAAGAGGAGGCGAGGAGCGAUGAUGGACUUCUGAUGGUUUAUUAUUUAUUAAGUAAUUAUAAAUAUCAGUAG